rnacentral:rRNA from 1 species
UUAGGGCUAGCCUCAUGAGAGUCUUUUGGAGGUAGAGCACUGAAUUCCCGCGGGGGCGUCAAAGCUUACCAAAGGAUAUCAAACUCCGAAUGCCAGUAAGAUGAUUCAUGGGAGUCAGACUACACGAGAUAAGUNGGGUAGUCAAAAGGGAAAGAGCCCAGACCUGCAGCUAAGGUCCCAAAAUGUGUGUUAAGUGGAAAAGGAUGUGGGAUUUCAAAGACAACCAGGAUGUUGGCUUAGAAGCAGCCAUACAUUAAAAGAGUGCGUAAUAGCUCACUGGUCGAGAGGUCCUGCGCCGAAAAUGUCCGGGGCUGAAACACACUACCGAAGCUCAGGAAUUAACCUAGUUAAUUGGUAGAGGAGCAUUCUUAAAGGGAGGAAGCAGUACCGGAAGGAGCUGUGGACUUUUAAGAAGAGAGAAUGCCGGAAUGAGUAGCGAGAGGAAGGUGAGAAUCCUUCCGGCCGAAUACCCAAGGUUUCCAGAGUAAAGCUGAUCUGCUCUGGGUAAGUCGGGGCCUAAGGUGAGGUCGAAAGACGUAGCCGAUGGACAACAGGUUGAAAUUCCUGUACUGCAGUAUAACAGAACUGUGGGGACGCAGAGGGAGAGCACUAGCGGGAAUGGAAUCCCGUGGCAAGCGAGGUAGGAGUAGAGUUGGCAAAUCCGCUCUACAAUCCGAAGACGUGAUGCAUACCGAACAAAAGUAGGGAAAUGUGUGAGCCAGCUGCCAAGAAAAGCCGCUAUUGUUUGUACUGUACCCGUACCGUAAACCGACACAGGUAGGUGAGGAGAGAAUCCUAAGGCCGACGGGAGAAGCAUUGUUAAGGAACUCGGCAAAAUGACUCCGUAACUUCGGGAGAAGGAGUGCCAGUGAGAGCUGGCCGCAGAGAAUUGGCCCAAGCAACUGUUUAGCAAAAACACAGGUCUAUGCAAAACCGUAAGGUGAAGUAUAUGGGCUGACGCCUGCCCGGUGCUGGAAGGUUAAGGGGAGAGGUUAGCGCAAGCGAAGCUUUGAACUUAAGCCCCAGUAAACGGCGGCCGUAACUAUAACGGUCCUAAGGUAGCGAAAUUCCUUGUCGGGUAAGUUCCGACCCGCACGAAAGGCGUAAUGAUUUGGGCACUGUCUCAACAAUGCACCCGGUGAAAUUGAAAUACCAGUGAAGAUGCUGGUUACCUGCGCCAGGACGGAAAGACCCCAUGGAGCUUUACUCCAGCUUGAUACUGGGAUUCGAUAUUGUAUGUACAGGAUAGGUGGGAGGCGAAGAAGCAUUGACGCCAGUUGAUGCGGAGCCGCUGUUGGGAUACCACCCUUGCAGUAUUGGAUUUCUAACCAGCAGCCGUGACCCGGCUGGGGGACAAUGUCAGGUGGGGAGUUUGACUGGGGCGGUCGCCUCCGAAAGGGUAUCGGAGGCGCUCAAAGGUUCCCUCAGAAUGGUUGGAAACCAUUCGAAGAGUGCAAAGGCAGAAGGGAGCUUGACUGCGACACCGACGGGUGGAGCAGGUACGAAAGUAGGACUUAGUGAUCCGGUGGUAUAAAGUGGGAUCGCCAUCGCUCAACGGAUAAAAGCUACCCUGGGGAUAACAGGCUUAUCACUCCCAAGAGUUCACAUCGACGGAGUGGUUUGGCACCUCGAUGUCGGCUCAUCGCAUCCUGGAGCUGUAGCAGGUUCCAAGGGUUGGGCUGUUCGCCCAUUAAAGCGGUACGCGAGCUGGGUUCAGAACGUCGUGAGACAGUUCGGUCCCUAUCCGGCGCAGGCGGAGGAAAUUUGAUAGGAGCUGUCCUUAGUACGAGAGGACCGGGAUGGACGGACCGCUGGUGUAUCUGUUGUACUGCCAAGUGCAUAGCAGAGUAGCCAAGUCUGGAAGGGAUAAACGCUGAAGGCAUCUAAGCGUGAAGCCCCCCUAAAGAUAAGAUUUCCCAUACCAUAAGGUAGUAAGACCCCUUGAAGACGACGAGGUAGAUAGGGCAGAGGUGGAAGUACGGUAACGUAUGGAGCUGACUGUUACUAAUCGGUCGAGGCUUUAACCAA